rnacentral:rRNA from 1 species
GAGUUUGAUCUUGGCUCAGAUUGAACGCUGGCGGCAGGCCUAACACAUGCAAGUCGAGCGGAUGACGGGAGCUUGCUCCUUGAUUCAGCGGCGGACGGGUGAGUAAUGCCUAGGAAUCUGCCUGGUAGUGGGGGACAACGUUUCGAAAGGACGCUAAUACCGCAUACGUCCUACGGGAGAAAGCAGGGGACCUUCGGGCCUUGCGCUAUCAGAUGAGCCUAGGUCGGAUUAGCUAGUUGGUGGGGUAAUGGCUCACCUAAGGCGAACGAUCCGUAACUGGUCUGAGAGGAUGAUCAGUCACACUGGAACUGAGACACGGUCCAGACUCCUACGGGAGGCAGCAGUGGGGAAUAUUGGACAAUGGGCGAAAGCCUGAUCCAGCCAUGCCGCGUGUGUGAAGAAGGUCUUCGGGAUUGU